CGGCAACAUCAGAUUGAAACACCGGUUCUCUUACGAUCACCAAAGUUAAGCAACGUUGAGCCUGGUCAGUACCUAGGUUUGUGACGGCUUGGGAAUACCAGAUGCUGUAA